rnacentral:rRNA from 1 species
CCUACGGGAGGCUGCAGUGGGGAAUAUUGGACAAUGGGCGAAAGCCUGAUCCAGCCAUGCCGCGUGUGUGAAGAAGGCCUUCGGGUUGUAAAGCACUUUCAGUGGGGAAGAAAGCCUUGGGGCUAAUACCCUCGAGGAAGGACAUCACCCACAGAAGAAGCACCGGCUAACUCCGUGCCAGCAGCCGCGGUAAUACGGAGGGUGCGAGCGUUAAUCGGAAUUACUGGGCGUAAAGCGCGCGUAGGCGGUCUGAUAAGCCGGUUGUGAAAGCCCCGGGCUCAACCUGGGAACGGCAUCCGGAACGGUCAGGCUAGAGUGCAGGAGAGGAAGGUAGAAUUCCCGGUGUAGCGGUGAAAUGCGUAGAGAUCGGGAGGAAUACCAGUGGCGAAGGCGGCCUUCUGGACUGACACUGACGCUGAGGUGCGAAAGCGUGGGUAGCAAACAGGAUUAGAUACCCGGGUAGUC